rnacentral:rRNA from 1 species
AUUGAACGCUGGCGGCAUGCCUAACACAUGCAAGUCGAACGGUAACAGGCCCUUCGGGGUGCUGACGAGUGGCGGAUGGGUGAGUAAUACUUAGGAAUCUACCCUGUAGUGGGGGACAACCCGGGGAAACUCGGGCUAAUACCGCAUACGCUCUACGGAGGAAAGCGGGGGACCGCAAGGCCUCGCGCUAUUGGAUGAGCCUAAGCCCGAUUAGCUAGUUGGUGGGGUAAUGGCCUACCAAGGCAAUGAUCGGUAGCUGGUCUGAGAGGACGACCAGCCACACUGGGACUGAGACACGGCCCAGACUCCUACGGGAGGCAGCAGUGGGGAAUAUUGGACAAUGGGCGAAAGCCUGAUCCAGCGAUGCCGCGUGUGUGAAGAAGGCCUGC